CCGUCGAUAGCUCAGUUGGUAGAGCGGAGGGCUGUAAAGUGCAGUAAUGCUCAGGUCGCUGGUUCGAAUCCGGCUCGACGUA
rnacentral:tRNA from 1 species